UGAGGAAUUUUGCGCAAUGGGAGCAAUCCUGACGCAGCAACGCCGCGUGGGUGAUGAAGGCCUUCGGGUCGUAAAGCCCUGUCAGGUGGGAAGAAUGUCCCGGGACUGAACAGGUUCCGGGAGUGACGGUACCACCAGAGGAAGCACCGGCUAACCCCGUGCCAGCAGCCGCGGCAAUACGGAGGGUGCAAGCGGUAUUCGGAAUUAAUGGGCGUAAAGCGCGUGUAGGCGGUCCUGCAAGUCUGGUGUGAAAGCCCCGGGCUUAACCCGGGAAAUGCAUUGGAAACUGUGGGGCUUGAGUACUGUAGAGGAUGGGGGAAUUCCCGGUGUAGAGGUGAAAUUCGUAGAGAUCGGGAGGAAUAUCAGUGGCGAAGGCGCCCAUCUGGACGGUAACUGACGCUGAGGCACGAAAGCGUGGGGAGCAAACA
rnacentral:rRNA from 1 species